AACCCAUGAUUUGGGAUUUUCUUAGCAUCACUUUGAAUCUCUCCCAUGUCUCAUAGAAGGCUUCAUCUGACCCUUGUUUGAACAUAGAAAUAUCAUACUUUGCUU
rnacentral:snoRNA from 1 species